UGCAGAGAGUGAAACACAUGGU
rnacentral:siRNA from 1 species